rnacentral:rRNA from 1 species
AGCUCUAAUAACGUAUAUUAAAGUUGUUGCAGUUAAAAAGCUCGUAGUUGGACUUUUAUUAUUUAAUAAUUAAUCUAUCGUGAAGAUAAGUAUUAUUUAUUAAUAAUUUUUUAAUAUAAAUAUUUCUAUUUUUUUCUUAAUUGAUUAAAGUAUGAAAUUUUAUACAUUUACUGUGAGUAAAUUAGAGUGUUUAAAGCAAUCUCUUUGGAUUUUGAAUAUCAUUAGCAUGGGAUAAUAAAAUAAGAUUUUCUUAUUAUUUUUUAUUGGUUAGUUAAUAAGAAAGUAAUGAUUAAUAGGAAUAGUUUAGGAUAUUAAUACUUUAGUGGAAGAAGUGAAAUUUUAUGAUCACUAAAAGAUUAACAACUGCGAAAGCAUUUAUCAAGGAUGUUUUCA